rnacentral:rRNA from 1 species
CUCAGUUCGGAUCGAAGUCUGCAACCCGACUUCGUGAAGCUGGAUUCGCUAGUAAUCGCGCAUCAGCCACGGCGCGGUGAAUACGUUCCCGGGCCUUGUACACACCGCCCGUCAAGCCAUGAAAGCCGGGGGUACCUGAAGUACGUAACCGCAAGGAUCGUCCUAGGGUAAAACUGGUAAUUGGGGCUAAGUCGUAACAAGGUAAC